AAAAAAGAAGCCCAUACCAAGAAUUUUGAAAACUAGAGAUAAAAAUAUCUUAAAAACAGCCACAGAAAAAUGACAUAUUACCUACAAAUUGACACCAACUUGAAUGACAGCAAAUUUAUCAUUAGAAACCAUGGAGGUAAGAAAGAAGUGGCAUGACACUUUUCAGAUACUAAAAGAAAGGAACUGUCAAUCCCAAAUGCUGUACCUGGCAAAAUUAUCCUUCAUGAAUGAAGGGGAAAUAAUAACAUUCUCAGAGGAAAAAAACACAAAGUCAAUUUGUUGCUAGCAGAUGUACCCUUAACAAAUAGCUAAAGGAAGCUCUCCAAACACAAAAUGAUAACAGAAGAAGGCUGGGAACUUUAGAAAGGCAAGAAGAACAAUGGGGUAGAUAAAAAUAAAGGGAAGUGUAAUAGACGGUUCUUCACCUCAUGAGUUUCUUUCAUCACAUUUUGUGUUCAAAGCAGAAGCUGUAACACCAUCUUAUGUGGUUAUAGACAAAAUAACCAUCUUAUGUGUAUACUGAAAAAAUAUUUAAAUAAUUAUACUCAAAAAGUGUGGGGAGUGGGUAGGUAAAAAGACCUAAAUGGAAGUAAGGUUUCUACACUUAAGGGGGAAAAGCCAUUACCAGUAGACUGUGUUUAAUUUCAUAUGGACAUGGUAAUAUCCAAAAUAACCACUAAGAACACUACACAAAGUGAUAUGCUCAAAACGUAACACACAAAGCAAACAAACUCUAAAAAGGUGUCCAAGUAACCCACAGAAAAGGCAAAAAAAAAAAAAAAAAGAGAGAGAGAAAUAAAGUGGACAAACAGAAAAACUACAAAAUGAUAGACUUGGGCCCUAACAUAUCAAUAAUUAGCUUAAAUAUAGUGUAAAUAUACCAAUUAAAACUGAGAUAGAAUGGAUUAAAAAAAUAUAACCCAACUAAUUAUGCUCUCUACAAGAAUUCAUUUCAAAUAUAACAGUAUAUGCAAGUUGAAAAUAAAAGGAUGGAAAAAGAUGUAUCAUGCCCACAUUAGUUUUAUAAAAAGCAUUGGUGGCUAUGUCAACAUUAGAUACAGUAGACUUCAGAGAAAAACAAAAAUUACUAACAGAAAAUAACAUUACAUAAGGAAAAAACAACUUCUCUGUUAAGAUAGAGGAAUCUUAAAUGUACAGGCAUCAAACAACAAAGCUUCAAAUUACAUGAAACAAAAACUGAGAGCUGAAAGAAAAAGUAGAAAAAUCCAUAAUUACUGUUAAGAACCUCACUCUCGGCAACUGAGAAAACUGCCAGGCAGAAAAUUAACAAAGAUAUUCAUUCAAAAGACUGGAACACCACCAUCAACUAAUAGGGAUCUAACUGGUAUUUAUAGAGCCCACUUUACAUGAUAAUAGCAGAAUAUAUGUUCUUUUUGAAUACUCGUAGAACACUCACCAAAAAGGAUAUCCUGGGAUAUAAAAACAAACCUUAAAAUUUCAAAAGGACUGAAAUCAUACAGAGUAUGUUCUCUGACCAUAAUGGAAUCAAACUAAAAAAUCAAUAGUAGAAAGACAGCAGAAAAACCUCUAAACACUUGGAAAUUAAAUAAAGGCUAGGAGUAGGAAGGAAAAAAUCACUACGUAUAAUGGGCUUUAAUGUGACGUUAUGCUUUAAUCAAAAUACUGUUAUUCUCUCUUUUGCCUGAGGUAGUUAAUGAGGUUAUCAUAACUAUUCAUUUUUUAAAUAAAUUUUUGUUUUCAAUAAAUACUUGGACCUAGUUUAAAAAGACCAAUAGUAUUACAAGAUGUAAAACAAAACACAGUUGUUCCCUGUCCUACCCAUUCCCAACUUCACUUUCUACCACAUACCUCUCCAAAGGUAACCACUUUCAACUCUUUUAGCAGUUGCUUCUAGUAUUUCUAAAUAAUAUGUUUAUAUUGAUUUCUUGAUUUUUCUAAUUUAGAAAUCAUCCAUGACUUCCUGCAAUGGAAGAUGAGGACACAGCUAAGUAUGAACAUUCAUCUUUUGAGGGCCACACAGGCACAAAUGUUACAGCUACAAGAGGAAAGAAGGUCACAACUGAGGAAAAGGGGCUGAGGGAACUCAAAAAAUACUGCAACUGGCAACAGAGACCACCAUCAAGGGAUAAAAUUACUUCAGCACCUACACACAAAACGCAGAGCAGCUGGAGAAAGGGGCAUGGGAAAAAAAGGCUGCUCAAGAGCAAACCUGAAGACCCUGUUUAUUAGCCAUUUCUCUCCCUGCAAGUGACUGGCAAUCCAUUUUGACUGAACUUGGGAUUCUGAGAUGCUCCGAAUGCCCUCUCUGGUGUUUUUACAGUUGAGGGGAGAAGAGGGUCUGUUCUCCAGGUAAUCUAACACCUCAAGGCUCUGGAUGAUGCAUUAUGCAUGGUUCAUGCAAGACACUGCAGAAAUCCAAUCAGGAGAUGCACACAAGAAAAAACCUUGGCCCUACAUCAAAACAGUAGCAACAAAUGUGGAGUCCUGAGAACUAGUUGCCCCUGGGCUAUGGAGAAAGGGAGCUAAUAAAAUGACCAUGGUGGCAUCAUCAUCAAUAUAGGAACCCGGUGAAUGACUACAUUCGGAUCGCCUUCCUACCAGGGAGACAUAGAUUCACAGCUACAAAUGCCUAAAAAUAGGUAAACGUUUUAUUUCCAUUUUUUAAAAUUCAUCAAUCUUCCCUCCAUUUUCUAUUUGUCACCAGUCACUCUAGCAACAGAAACAAAAUGUUGUUUCCUCCAAGGCCCCUCUAGCUCUUGGUGUUUAUUCCUCAAUAUCCGUGGCCAUAAUCCUCAGGCUGAUGACAUCAGUUGUAUCUGAGGGGCCAGCCGUGAGGCUAGAAGGUGGGAACGUGGAAACUGCUAAAGGAACUUGUGCACAUGGCCUUCGAUAGGUGGCGGAAGAGAAGGGGAAGCUUCCCGAGGUUCCUGAGGAAGGAAGCCAGACUGGUGGGGUAAAAGCAGGCCCUGAGGAACACCCGGCAGUAUGACUCAUUUGGAGAAUACAGAACUAAGUAGGUGGUAGAAACUGCUCAGAGCCGUCCUCAGCCUCAGGCUCACAAUGUGUGGCACACUGCAGGACACGGCGUCACCUUGUAAAGGUUCCCUGGGAUUCGCUAACCCAAGGGCAGAGGUUUGCUUUUUGGGGGGUUAACAACUCAGUAUAGACCAAACAGCAUAUUGGCCAGGCAUUCUCUGCCACCAGAAGAAAAGUUAAGUUUUCUUCUUACUCAAAGGCAUACUCUGGUCCCAACUACUUUCCACCAAAGUGAAACUGGGGUCAAGGGCCAAAGAAGCCUCUCCGUUAUCCUCUCCCUGCAAUACACUUGAAACAAUACAAUGAAUGCACAAUACCAAGAAUGGCCUGCUGGACACAUCUCAUGCUGACUGGCACAUCCUACAGGAAAGCUCAUGUCCUCCCCACAACCCCCACACUGGCGUUCACACCUUGGCCCUACUGGAGCGGUUUUUUUUUUGGUUUUUUUUUUUACUUUCCUCUUCACUAAGACGAAGUAGAAGGAAAAAAAG
rnacentral:lncRNA from 1 species